rnacentral:rRNA from 1 species
CCCUUAGAUGUUCUGGGCUGCACGCGCGCUACACUGAAGCUAUCAACACGUUUUCCCUCCCUGAGAAGGGCGGGUACCUUUUGAAUCAGCUUCGUGGUAGGGAUCGGGGCUUGCAAUUGUUCCCCGUGAACCAGGAAUUCCUAGUAGACGCGAGUCAUAAGCUCGCAUCGAUUAAGUCCCUGCCCUUUGUACACACCGCCCGUCGCUACUACCGAUUGAACGUUUUAGUGAGGCAUUUGGACCGACGCAUCUCAGUUUAACCGCUGGUUUGUGUUGGAAAGACUUCCAAACUUGAGCGUUUAGAGGAAGUAAAAGUCGUAACA